GCAACAAGGACAUCAAAGUAACAAUCCCGGCAACCAUUUGCGCCCUCAGAAACCUCACCGUUCUGGACUUAUCCUAUAACAACAUCCCCGGAGAAUUUCCAAGAGUUGUUUUCAAUUGCUCAAAGCUUCAAAGCUUGGAUCUUUCUCAAAAUUAUUUUGUGGGUCCAAUCCCAGAUGAUAUUGAUCACCGGCUUUCAACUCUCAAAUACUUGAAUCUUGGGGCUAAUAACUUCUCUGGUGAUAUUCCGCCUGCGAUAGGUAACCUAACGAAGUUGCAAUACUUGUAUCUGAAUUCAAACCAGUUCAAUGGGACGUUUCCGAAGGAGAUUGGUAACUUGGCCAACCUUGUAGAAUUAGGCUUGGCCUAUAAUGGGUUUUUGCCUUCAACAAUUCCGGUGGAAUUCGGCAAGCUAAGCAAGUUGACAUUCAUGUGGAUUAGAUAUGCCAAUUUGAUCGGUCCCAUCCC
rnacentral:misc_RNA from 1 species